AUGCUGAUGUUGCGCAGGCACCUGUGCUAUUUACAGAAGGAGGGGACCCGGCCUUCUUCAUAUCUUGCGGCACUGUCUUCCUUUGAUUCGUUCAUGCAACAAGGAGGGUACAUAGCCUUCUUCACGUCUCGUGCAACAAGGGUGAUUGACACUGACUAUGGCAGCUUGUUGGGCGUCGUGCUCUUCAACCACUUAGAGGUAGACUUCGACGUGAAGCCCGGCGAGCGCGCCGCAUGGAUGACCGUCCAUGUGAUCGCGACGCCGGAUGUCGCUGAGGUGGAGGACCUCGAUGCCAUCUUUCGUGGUGAGGGAGGAUUCGGGUCCUCCGGCGUCUGA
rnacentral:rRNA from 1 species